rnacentral:rRNA from 1 species
UACGUAGGGUGCGAGCGUUGUCCGGAUUUAUUGGGCGUAAAGAGCUCGUAGGCGGUUUGUCGCGUCGGCCGUGAAAUCUCCACGCUUAACGUGGAGCGUGCGGUCGAUACGGGCAGACUUGAGUUCGGUAGGGGAGACUGGAAUUCCUGGUGUAGCGGUGAAAUGCGCAGAUAUCAGGAGGAACACCCGUGGCGAAGGCGGCUCUCUGGGACGGUACUGACGCUGAGACGCGAAAGCGUGGGGAGCGAACAGG